rnacentral:rRNA from 1 species
UACGUAGGUGGCAAGCGUUGUCCGGAUUUACUGGGCGUAAAGAGCGCGCAGGCGGUCGUUCAAGUCGCGUGUGAAAGCCCCCGGCUCAACUGGGGAGGGUCACGCGAUACUGAUCGACUGGAAGGCAGGAGAGGGAAGUGGAAUUCCGGGUGUAGCGGUGAAAUGCGUAGAUAUCGGGAGGAACACCAGUGGCGAAGGCGGCUGUCUGGGCCAGUUCUGACGCUGAGGCGCGAAAGCGUGGGGAGCAAACAGG